rnacentral:rRNA from 1 species
UCUUGGUCAUUUAGAGGAAGUAAAAGUCGUAACAAGGUUUCCGUAGGUGAACCUGCGGAAGGGAUCAUUAGUGAAUUUUGUGGCCUUCAAGGCUCACAUUCUCUAUCCUUUACACACCUGUGCACCCUUCUGAAGCGGAGAGUUAUUAGGCAUUGGCCGGGCGCCUCCCUUCGGUUAUUAUAUCAAACUCAAACUACGUUUACUAGAAUGUAUACCGUCUUGUUGUAACGACAAGUACAAUCCAAUAAAACUUUCAGCAACGGAUCUCUUGGCUCAGGCAUCGAUGAAGAACGCAGCGAAAUGCGAUAAGUAAUGUGAAUUGCAGAAUCCAGUGAAUCAUCGAAUCUUUGAACGCAACUUGCGCCCUCUGGUAUUCCGGAGGGCAUGCCUGUUUGAGUGUCGUGAACACCUCAACCCUCUAAUGUUUUUGCAUUGAAGGCGUUGGUAGUGAGCGCUGCCGGUCUUUGGAUCGGCUCGCUUUAAAAUAAUUAGCUGGAUCCAUUCUGACCUGGUUCUACUCGGCGUAAUAAGUUAUUAUCGUCGAGGACGCCUAGCCUUCUAGGCAGGCGGCCACAGUAAGGGUGUUUGAACCGCUUCCAACACGUCUUGCUCUUGUAGCAAACACUUGAACCUCUGACCUCAAAUCAGGCAGGACUACCCGCUGAACUUAAGCAUAUCAAUAAGCGGAGGA